UACAGAGGGUGCGAGCGUUGUCCGGAAUCACUGGGCGUAAAGGGCGCGUAGGUGGCCUGAUAAGUAGGGGGUGAAAUCUCGAGGCUCAACUUCGAGGCUGCCUUCUAAACUGUCGGGCUUGAGCAGAGUAGAGGCAGGUGGAAUUCCCGGUGUAGCGGUGGAAUGCGUAGAGAUCGGGAAGAACAUCGGUGGCUAAGGCGGUUCUCUAGUACGGUACUGACGCUGAGACGCGAAAGCGUGGGGAGCAAACAGG
rnacentral:rRNA from 1 species